UAUACAGUAUGAAAGAGACCCAGCACAGCCAGGACACAAACCACACUGCCAAGAGAUGCGGAUGCUGGCGAUGCAGGAAAUUCCUCAGCACAACACACUCCACAAAGUCGACCUUCACAGGGGUCUGCCAGUCGACAGAAGAGGGGAAGCAAGAGACGGCGUCUUGAGGUGGCAACGACACCCGCAUCCUCUCCACCACAACAGCGCAUCUCCACUGUGACGGCUCAGCCACCAGAAGCCAUUUUGGCCAGUCCGCAAUCCGAUCAACCACAAUCCCCUCAGCUGUCUGAUGCAGACAUCAUGCCCCAGGAUCCCCAACAGGAAACAGACUUGCAGCAAACAUUCACACUCCACCUGCAAGCAAUUGAUAACAACCAGCCAACCACACCGGCUGACAUAACGCCACCACCCCAAACAUCCCCCACCCCCCAAUUGAGCCCAACACCACCCCAGCCACAAAUUCAAAAAACGUUUUGGGACAGUUGUGCCACACAACAGGCCCAAAACCAUGCCUGUCUGCGUACACACAGCUAAUAUCUCGCCAGUCUGCCCCAUCAUCUACCUAGACUCAGUAGAAACUCAAGCACACUGAAUGUGCAACUUGGCAGAGUGGCCAAUACAGUGGAGCAGAUGAGAGCAGACAACAGACAACUUAUAGCUAGUUUUCAGCGCAUAAUGGAUAAGCAACACCGCCAUCAACAAGCCCUCAUUCAAAUCAUACAAAACAAUCAGUUAAUCACCGAAAGCCUGUCCAGAAUCAUCUCCAACAACACAGCCACAACAACACAACUUACAGCAAGCCUAAACAACCUGAGCCAAAACCUAAAUGUGUUGUCAUCACAGCAACAAGGAUCAAGCUCAGGGACCACCACACCUAGCCAGACCCCAGUUCGAAGAUCCAUCAGAACACGGUCCAAUGUGCCAUCCCAAACUUCUGCAGCCAGCAAACAACCCCAUAAGAAAAUUAGCAAUCCUGCAGCAGGAUAGACACUAAUCCCCACUAUAUGACAACAAUAUGGAAUUGUGGUACACACAAAAAAAAGUGUUGUAAGGUAAUAAAUUACUAAAAUGCUA